rnacentral:rRNA from 1 species
AUUGAACGCUGGCGGCAUGCCUUACACAUGCAAGUCGAACGGUAACAGGUCUUCGGAUGCUGACGAGUGGCGAACGGGUGAGUAAUACAUCGGAACGUGCCUAGUAGUGGGGGAUAACUACUCGAAAGAGUGGCUAAUACCGCAUGAGAUCUACGGAUGAAAGCAGGGAUCGCAAGACCUUGUGCUACUAGAGCGGCCGAUGGCAGAUUAGGUAGUUGGUGGGAUAAAAGCUUACCAAGCCGACGAUCUGUAGCUGGUCUGAGAGGACGAUCAGCCACACUGGGACUGAGACACGGCCCAGACUGCUACGGGAGGCAGGAGUGGGGAAUUUUGGACAAUGGGCGAAAGCCUGAUCCAGCAAUGCCGCGUGCAGGAUGAAGGCCUUCGGGUUGUAAACUGCUUUUGUACGGAACGAAAAGCCCCGGGUUAAUACCCUGGGGUCAUGACGGUACCGUAAGAAUAAGCACCGGCUAACUACGUGCCAGCAGCCGCGGUAA